UUGCUUGUUUUCUGAUUUAAUAUAUAUAUUUUUUGUUUUUGGAGGGUAUCCUUGAGUAAUUCUUUGAGAAUGUUUUGAGUCCUUGGAUAUCUGAAAAUAACUUUAUUUAUUUAUUUUAAAAUUUUAUUUUAGAGAUGGGUUUUCACUGUAUUGCCCAGGCUGGAGUGCAGUGACUAUUCACAGGCACUUUCAUAGAACACUACAGGCUUUAACGCCUAGCCUCAAGUGGUCCUCCCACCUCAGUCUCCCAAGUAGCUGGGAAUACCAGUGCAUGCUACCACACCUGGCAAAUGGCUUUAUUUUUCCUUUCAUGUCAGUAAAUAUCUUUUUACUUGGGAACAUUGACUACAUGGCUCCAUUAUUUUUUUCCAUCUAAUGUUAUAUGUAAGAAUUCUGAUGCUAAUCCCAAUUCUUGUAUUUUGCAGUUCUCUACUACUUCUGCUACUUCUCUUUGAUAGAAGAUUGUACUUUUUAAAUCCUUUGGAAAACUCCAUAUUUUAUGGUCUUUUUUCAUUUAUCCUGCUUCACAUUUAUUAGAUCCUUUCUGUCUGAAGAUUUUCAUCUUUUGAAACAGGAAUUUUUCUUCUUUGUGAGUUUUUUGUUUUUGUUUGACGUGGAGUCUCACUCAUUCUUUUGCCCAGGCUGAAGUACGGUGGCAUGAUCUCUGCUCACUGCAACCUCCGCCUCCUGGGUUCAAGCAGUUCUCCUGCCUCGGCUUCCCAAGUAGCUGGGAUUACAGGUGUGUGCCACCAUGCCUGGCUCAUUUUUUUAUUUUUAGUAGAGAUGGGGUUUUGCCAUGUUGGCCAGGCUGGUCUCAAACUCCUGACCUCAAGUGAACCACCCGCCUCGGCCUCCCAAAGUGCUGGGAUUACAGGCAUGAGCCACCGCACCCAGCCUAUAGAUUUUAAUUGUUACAUGUCUUCUUCAUUUCAUUGGGAUUUAAAGAAGAAAAUUAUGUACAUUUAGCCAGCCAUUUGAAACCAGUUCUGUUGAACAAUAAAAGCACAGGAGUAGGUAAAUUUUUAUAUCAUCACAUUAAAGCUACCAUGAAAAAUAAAAUGGAGUGUUAAGAAAAAGAGGAGCCAUUGAGUUAGGUUUUUGUUUUGUUUUUUUUUUUUUUUUCAGUUAAAAGGCUGUACUAUAUAGUGUUCCAAAUAGAUUCUUUUUAAAAUUUUAGCAAACACUAUAAAUACAGAAGAGAAAACGCAGGGAAAGAGGAAGACAGGAAGAGAAGUUUGCAGACAGAUCUACAGGGAAAACACUGAGACACUUUAAUUUGUAUAGGAUGAUAAAAAGAUGUAUUUAUUAAAUAUUUGCAUCUGUGACAAAAAAUCAAAAUAUGGAUAAUAACAUUGUUAGGACCAGUACCCUUGGAGUUAUAAAAAUAGUGAACAAAAUUUUCAUCCAUCUUAUCAUCUAUGUUGGAUAUGCCACAUAGGUGUCCAUAAAGGUACCUACAAGUUUAUGCUAAGUGAAUCCUACAAAAAGAUGCUUAGAUUCCAGAGAACGUCUCAUAAGUGCCAAAGAGGAUAGGUGUGCAAUCUGUAGUAAUACAAGAGACAGUGUGAGAGAACUGGACAGGAGGAUUCAGAGGAGAUUUCAAAGGACUUGACCCAUUUACGCAGGAGGUUGCAAUUUUUUGAAUUGCAAAAUGAGACCUUGGCAAUGACCUUGAGCAGUAGGAUAUAAAUAAGUCCUACAUGCUUAGUGUUCCACUAAUGGAACACAAGGCAUAAAUGGGUUAAACUGGCUCUUAAAGAAUGAAUACAAUUGGAUGAGUACCUAUUCAGGAGAAUGGAACAGAAAUAGAGGCAACACAGCAUACUUAUUAAAAAUUAUUCUAGAGGCAGAUUGCUGAGUUCAAAUUUUGACCAUGUCACUUAUUUGCUGUAUCACUUUGGUUUAUUUUUUACUUAUUUUUUUUAAUGUGGCCUAGAUGAAUUAAUGCUGUGUCACUUUGGAAAAAUGAUUUCUCUGUGCCUCAGUUUUUGUUGUUUUUUUACUAAAAUGAGAAUAAUAGGACCUACCUUUUAGAGUUGUUAUAAGGAAUAAAUUAAUCCACAUAAAGCAUUUAAGACAAUUUAUGGCAUCAACUGUAAUUGUUAGUUGCCAUGAUUAUCAUCAUCAUCUUCAUAGAAGGACAUUUUGGAAUUAUAAAUGGACAGAUUGUAUUCAUUGGCUAGUAAAUGAACCGGCCUGCUUCGAAUACACAAUUCAUACUGGGAAGUAGUAGAAGAAUGUGUUGAAGUCAGUUGGAGUCCACACCAUGGUGGUCUUGAAUUCCAGGCUAAGAAACAGUUAAUUAUUAUUCUUUUAUUGAAGAGGAAACAAAAAAGUUAUAUACAAUGUCUGAAAUUGCCUAAGUCUUUUUUUGGGGGGGUACGGGGGGCAGGGUACCGAGUCUCACUGUCGCCCAGGCUGGAGUGCAGUGGCACGAUCUCGGCUCACUGCAACCUCCACCUCCUGGGUUCAAGCGAUUCUCCCGCCUCAGCCUCCUGAGUAGCUGGGAUUUUUCUAUUUUUAGUAGAGACAGGGUUACACCAUGUUGGUCAGGCUGGUCUCGAACUCCUGACCUCAUGAUCCACCUGCCUCGGCCUCCCAAAGUGCUGGGAUUACAGGCGUGAGCCACCGCGCCCUGCCAAUUGCCUAAGUUUUAACUAAAACGCCCAGCAUUUGAACUGCUCUUUGUGUUUCCGUCCAUUCUACAGGGAUUCUGAAUGAAACCACUAUUUUAGGAAGAUUUAUUUCAGUAAUAUCCAUAAGGCCUAAAUUUAGGUGAUGGUGAGAGAAAUGGGUAAGGAAGGGACAAGUUCCAAAAAUGAAUGGAAUUGAACUAGAUGAUCUUUUGGUUCUUUUCUAGCUCAGACAUCACUGAUGACUUUCUUACCUCUCUAGCUUAGAAAAUCUUUACAUCAUAUGAUCUACUGUAUAUAAUUUUUUGUUUCCAGAAUUUGUAAUAUAUGUUUUCCUCAUGUAUGCUUUUCUACAGGUUUUAGAUGGAGCAGGAUUAGAUAUUGAUUUCCAUCUUGCCUCUCCAGAAGGCAAAACCUUAGUUUUUGAACAAAGAAAAUCAGAUGGAGUUCACACUGUAGAGACUGAAGUUGGUGAUUACAUGUUCUGCUUUGACAAUACAUUCAGCACCAUUUCUGAGAAGGUGAUUUUCUUUGAAUUAAUCCUGGAUAAUAUGGGAGAACAGGCACAAGAACAAGAAGAUUGGAAGAAAUAUAUUACUGGCACAGAUAUGUUGGAUAUGAAACUGGAAGACAUCCUGGAAUCCAUCAACAGCAUCAAGUCCAGACUAAGCAAAAGUGGGCACAUACAAACUCUGCUUAGAGCAUUUGAAGCUCGUGAUCGAAACAUACAAGAAAGCAACUUUGAUAGAGUCAAUUUCUGGUCUAUGGUUAAUUUAGUGGUCAUGGUGGUGGUGUCAGCCAUUCAAGUUUAUAUGCUGAAGAGUCUGUUUGAAGAUAAGAGGAAAAGUAGAACUUAAAACUCCAAACUAGAGUACUUAACAUUGAAAAAUGAGGCAUAAAAAUGCAAUAAACUGUUACAGUCAAGACCAUUAAUGGUCUUCUCCAAAAUAUUUUGAGAUAUAAGUAUGAAACAGGUAUAAUUUUAAUGUGAAAAUUAAGUCUUCACUUUCUGUGCAAGUAAUCCUGCUGAUCCAGUUGUACUUAAGUGUGUAACAGGAAUAUUUUGCAGAAUAUAGGUUUAACUGAAUGAAGCCAUAUUAAUAACUGCAUUUUCCUAACUUUGAAAAAUUUUGCAAAUGUCUUAGGUGAUUUAAAUAAAUGAGUAUUGGGCCUAAUUGCAACACCAGUCUGUUUUUAACAGGUUCUAUUACCCACAACUUUUUUGUAAAUGCGGCAGUUACAAAUUAACUGUGGAAGUUUUCAGUUUUAAGUUAUAAAUCACCUGAGAAUUACCUAAUGAUGGAUUGAAUAAAUCUUUAGACUACAAAA
rnacentral:sRNA from 1 species